AUUGAACGCUGGCGGCAUGCCUUACACAUGCAAGUCGAACGGCAGCACGGGGCAACCUGGUGGCGAGUGGCGAACGGGUGAGUAAUGCAUCGGAACGUACCUUUCAGUGGGGGAUAACGUAGCGAAAGUUACGCUAAUACCGCAUAUUCUGUGAGCAGGAAAGCAGGGGAUCGCAAGACCUUGCGCUGAUUGAGCGGCCGAUGUCGGAUUAGCUAGUUGGUGAGGUAAAGGCUCACCAAGGCGAAGAUCUGUAGCGGGUCUGAGAGGAUGAUCCGCCACACUGGAACGGGGACACGGUCCAGACUCCUACGGGAGGCAGCAGUGGGGAAUUUUGGACAAUGGGGGCAACCCUGAGCCAGCCAUGCCGCGUGAGUGAAGAAGGCCUUCGGGUUGUAAAGCUCUUUCGGCCGGGAAGAAAUCGCACGGGCUAAUACCCUGUGUGGAUGACGGUACCGGAAUAAGAAGCACCGGCUAACUACGUGCCAGCCGCCGCCGUAACAC
rnacentral:rRNA from 1 species